rnacentral:misc_RNA from 1 species
AAGGCUUGACAUAUGCGAGAACGCCCUAGAAAUAGGGAACUCUUUGGACACUCGUAUACAGGUGGUGCAUGGUUGUCGUCAGCUCGUGUCGUGAGAUGUUGGGUUAAGUCCCGCAACGAGCGCAACCCUCGUCGUAUGUUGCCAGCACGUGAUGGUGGGAACUCAUAUGAGACUGCCGGGGUCAACUCGGAGGAAGGUGGGGAUGACGUCUGCGUAACAGAA